GCUGGGUGUGGAGAUGUGCACCUGUAGUCUCAGCUUCUCAGGAGGCCCAGGCUAGAGAACUGCUUGUGCCCAAGAGUUGGAGACCAGCCUGGGCAACACAGCAAGACUCUGUCUCAA
rnacentral:sRNA from 1 species